rnacentral:rRNA from 1 species
CGCUACCACUCCUACGGGAGGCAGCAGUGGGGAAUCUUGGACAAUGGGGGCAACCCUGAUCCAGCCAUGCCGCGUGAGUGAUGAAGGCCUUAGGGUCGUAAAGCUCUUUCGCCUGUGAUGAUAAUGACAGUAGCAGGUAAAGAAACCCCGGCUAACUCCGUGCCAGCAGCCGCGGUAAUACGGAGGGGGUUAGCGUUGUUCGGAAUUACUGGGCGUAAAGCGCGCGUAGGCGGAUUAGUCAGUUAGAGGUGAAAUCCCAGGGCUCAACCCUGGAACUGCCUUUAAUACUGCUAGUCUUGAGUUCGAGAGAGGUGAGUGGAAUUCCGAGUGUAGAGGUGAAAUUCGUAGAUAUUCGGAGGAACACCAGUGGCGAAGGCGGCUCACUGGCUCGAUACUGACGCUGAGGUGCGAAAGUGUGGGGAGCAAACAGGAUUAGAUACCCUGGUAG